UUCCUCUUUGGUAACCGUAAGUUUGUUUUCUAUGUCCCGAGUCUGUUUCUAUUUUGUAAAUAAGUUCAUUUGUGUCAUAUUUUAGAUUCCACAUAUAAAUGAUAUCACCUGGUAUCUGUCUUUCUCUGUCUGACCUACUGCACUUAAUAUGAUGAUCUCUAGGUCCAUUCAUGUUGCCGCAAAUGGCAUUAAUUCCUUCUUUUUUGUGCAGAGUCCAUAUUCUUAUCCCUACAUUGAACUGCAAUUGUUUUAAAGCUGGUAAGUUAUCAUCAUUUAUAUUAUUCAAGGGUUCUCCAGAGAAAAAGAACCAAUGGUGUAUGUGUUUAUAUUGAAAGAGAUUCUAAAGAACUAGCUUAUGUCCAUGGAGGCAGCCAGAUCUAAAAUCUGCAGGAUGGACAGGUAGCCCAGAGGCCCAGGAAUACUCAAUAUUGCAGUUCAAGGACAUUAGGCUGGAGCUCCAGGGAUGUUGCAGUUUACAUCCAAAGAUCAUCUGCUGACAGAUAGAGGUCAGUCUUUUGCCAAGCCUUCAACUGAUUGGAUGAGGCCCACCUACAUUUUGAAGAGCAACCUGCUUUACUUAAAGUCCACUGAUUUAAAUAUUAAUCUCAUGCAAAAACACUCUGACAGAAACACUCAGAAUAAUGUUUAACCACAAAUCUGGGGCCAUGAUCCAACCAAUCUGAUACGUAAAAUUAAUCAUCACAACAUCCAUCCAUCAAAACACUGGUUAAAAAGGCCCAGGGAAGGUGGUUUUAAUGAAAGGAUUAGAAAAUGUUUGGAUAUGGGAUCCAGCGAAACAGGCCUAGGAGAGGUACCAUGGAGAGGGUCAAGGAUCCACUAAACACAUACAAUACUUGCUGAAAGAAAGCCAGAAAAGGAAACAAGUGGAUUUAUUUGGCCCACACAUUCUCCCAGGCUUAUCCUACUAAAUCUAAUCUCUAAGAAUCAAGAUUUUUUUACAGUCACCAGCUAAAUGUCCAUUUGGUCAAGGACUCCUCGGGUGGGGAAGAGGCACCCUUGGUUCAGGGGGUCCAUGCUGAGCUUGGGGCUACAGAACUGCUAUGAAGCAUUAUUUGAUUUCCCCUCAGCUGUGGGAGGGUGUGGCCUUGGGCACUGACAGAAACACCUCAUUUGGCACCAUCAAUCCAAGAGCACAGGGAAAGUUGUAUGGAAACAACACCUUUUCUGGAGUCGUUUACUUUAACUGCUCAGCAAUGUGAGGACGACAACCUCCUUCUGUCCCUUUUCCCACGUGGAGUCAGAGGACCACACAAGAGACUUUCCUGUCAUGAUGUGGCCACAGCCCAAAGAAGUGCUAUCCAUUGUCUGAGAAACAUGCCCUGAAUUUAGACUUUAAUCAUAUCAAGGGCUCAGGUACUAAUGAAAUUGGCUUCAAAGUAAAAUGUGCCCAUGUGGGCUGAAAUAUGAAGCCAAGUUGUCAAUGUCCUAUCUUUUCUAGCCAAAGAGAGGUGGGGAAAGCCAAGCCUGGCUGGAUACAGCAUCCUAGAGACUUAUGUGAGCUAGCAGACAAUAGAGGGUACAGUUAAGCACAGAGUCCAUGAACCCUGACAUGAGUUCAAACCCUAGCUAGGAACCAGUUACAUGACCUUGGGUAAGUUACACAACCUCCUUGUGCCUCAUCUGUAAAAACAGGAAAGGUAUCAAUAACAAUAGUGCAGGCCCAUGGGCCCCUCCUGCUAGCUGAACUACUUGGCAGAGAUUCCCACCAGGCAUAUAUUAAGGUUAUAGGGGAAAACAGAAAUUCCAAGUGCCAAAGGAAGAAGGGGUCCAAGUAAGGAGACACCGCAGGGAUAAUCAAGGGGAAGGCGACAUCUCAGGUCUCAAUUUAGAUUGUGCCUAAGAGCUUGGUUCAUGGUAACAGGACAGUCAUAACCAGGUCUAAGUCUGCUGGCUCUUCUGUAGUUAUACUGAGCAGUCAUUACAAAUAACUGGAAUGGACCUGGAGGGGGAGCAGGACCAAAACAAGUUGGUUCAUUACAGCAAUUUCAUCUGUAGGAGGACCCCAAGUUGACCUACAUCACCCCCAUAAAUCCCUAGGAAAUAAAGCUUCAUUAUUGUCUUAUAAAUUAAGCUCUCUUACAAGUUCUCAUUUCCUCUUACAAGCAGAAAGAGGGAACCAGACGGUUCAAGCCUAUAAUCUUAGGCCAACCCCCAAAACUGAACAGCAUUCUUAGAUAAUUUGAUGUCUUUUGGAUAAAUGCUCAGUCUUUCAGAUAUCCUUGUUUCUUAUUUUCCCCAAGAUGCUAUUCAACGAAGGAAAAGAAUCCUUGGUUCCAAAUGGUGUCGCCUGCUGCAAAACGCCUAGCCUGGCCUUGUUCCUGGACUGGUAAAUUUAGGGAGCAGCCAACCUCUGGAUGGGUGCAGAAACCUAUGCCCCAGCUGAGCUGGGCUGGCCUCGGCAGCUCCAUGAUGGCCUGGUGGUUCUCCCUGCCUGUCUAGAGCUCUGCCACAUCCUUCCUCUAGUGGCUUGUCUAUGUGGCCCAAGAGAGUCACCUUCCUCUUGCCAUGCCAGCUGCCAAAGCAGGCCCUGUGGCUCUCAUUCAGUCCCCUUACCCAUCCUCCUUGGGAUUGGGGGAGGCAAAUGGACACUUCUGGGUCUCCUCCACACACAUAAAUUGGGGCAGGAAUCACCUGGGGGAAGAAGAUUAUCCAGUCACCUUCCAGAGUUCCAAACCUAAAUUGAAAUAAGCCACCACCACCCCCAUCCUUGAAGGUUUUAACCAACACACCCAUCUCCUGCCUGACUUCCUUCUUUCUUCCCACAAUUCCUCAAGCCAGAAGAGGUGAAUUUUCAUUUACCUUGCUUUCUGGGACUUGCCUAGAAUCACUUUCUUCUCCACCUUCCAGAUUCCAGGCUUAGGGUUAAGUCUUACUGGGGAGUAGAAUUCAAGAGAGGAAAAAAACAUUCUUACCGAGAACACGAGUUAAAACUUGAAGCUUUAUGAUAAAGACGAAACUCAUUACUCUGAAAAGAUCACUACCAAGUUCUCAGAAACCUCACUUAAAAUCAGGCAAAGAAUGAUUUGACAGUGUCCUUGUACAAAGUCAACACAGAUGGCAUUUGAAUUUGUACAUAAUUGGGAUGCAAAAGUAUCUACAGCAACAAGGUGUGGAAAACUUGUGAUUCCCCAGACUUAGACCACAGGAGAAUAGGAUGUGACUAUUAUGCUAAUGAGCUCAUUAAUAUCAUGAAUACAAUUAACAAAUGAAGUUGAUUAUCACUGGCAAGCAUUCAUAACAAAGAGAUGAGUUGCUGUGCUCUAACCACACAAGCAACUAUUUUGCUGUGUUUGUCUGGAAGCACUCUUUUCAUCUCUGCUCAUUUAUUACCACUAAAUGGAUAAAUGCCUGGCAAUGUGGGCUCAGCUCAUUACUUAUAUAUAUUACCUUGAUUAAAAUUUGACCUCAUGCACAUUUCAGUUCGAAGAACCUUACAAAAUAUCACUUCUAUUUAUAAUACAACCUCAUCUGCCAAGUCUACAGAGAAAUAAUAUCCUAAUUGGAAAGAAUAAAAGGUUACCUUUGCGAGUAAACUGCACAUUCAUUUAGUCAUCGAUUUUAUUUCUUUCUAAUUAUCAGUGGUUGUGCAUCUCCUAGUAACUGGAAUAGAGUUGUUUUUCCUAAUAACUCCUGAGAAAUGGAAACCCUAAUGAUCAGAUCAGUAGAUUGGAAAGCUGUAGUUUUAACACAUAGUUUGUUGUGGCUGUCAGAAAUUAAGAAAUAUUUAGGAUUCAAACUUUAAUUUUCAUAUGUUCUGAGGCCAAAGGCCUAUACUAGCUGUGUGAUAUAAGACAUGCAUCUUCUUUGCAGUUUAGAAUAAAAUAACGCUGUGGCCAAUACAUCCAAAAUUAAAUGUGCAUCUUGUCGCCAGCAGUUUUUCUUAUUACCCCUCCAUAAGAAGUGAUUGAAGUCAUGAUUCCCAGCUGUGGGUUUUAAACUCUUUGAAGAAAAGGACGAAGCGAUUGUCACUGGAAACCAUCUCCGUCACCGAGCCUCAGCACGGUCGGCACUCUAGUCACAGAAUGCUCUCCCCAGCCCAUCUCGCAUCUUUCACUGAAUCACCCCUUGUAUUAGUCUACUCAGGCAGCCAUAACGAGAUACCAUAGACUAGGCGGCUUAAAUAACAGGCUUGUAUUUUCUUACAGUUCUGGAGGCUGGAAGUCCAAGACAAGGGUACCAGCGUGGUUGGAUUCUGGUGAGAGCUCUCUCCUUAGGUGGCGAAUGGCUGCCUUCUUGCUGCAGCCUCACGUGGUGGAGAAGAAGUUCUGAUGUCUCUCCAUCUUCUUAUAAGGGUACCAGUUCUAUUCGCUCAGGGCUCUAGCCUAUGACCUCAUUUAACCUUAAUCACCUCCUUAAAGGCCCUAUGUCCAAUACAAUCACACAAGGUUUGGGACCUCUACGUAUGAAUGGGAGGGGGCACAACUGGUCCACACCAUCCCUGGCCUGGCACAUAGAUGGUCUUGAUCACCCAUACACUGUGUGGGGAGAUUGGCUGGUGGGUAACAAGGCUCACUUAAUUCACCAGAUGUAUCAUGUUUGCCUUGCCUCCUGCAAUUGUUUCUCUGGGUGGCCCCUUGCAGAGGCCAAGAUAGAAAUUUCUCAGGGAGGUUAUAAGGAUUGAUGGAAUAUGGAAGGGGUCGGUUUGCCAAAAGUGUUAGCUGUGAUUAUCUGAGCAAAAUAUGGCUCUGACUGUGGAAGGAUGGACACAGGGUUACCCUUAAGAGUGGACUGUCACCUGCAUCAUAAGAUCUGAGAAGCACCGGAAACAUCUAUUAAAAAUACCUCUCUUGUGGAGUUCCCACUGUGGCACAGUUGGGUUAAGAACCCAACUGCAGAUGCUCUGGUCACUGCAGAGG
rnacentral:lncRNA from 1 species